rnacentral:lncRNA from 1 species
AACCCUGCUUAGGUGUUUGUUUCAAUCAUCAGACAUCCACCUCAAUGUCUGUGUUUGUAACACUCAUCCUGGGUACAAUCAUCCUUUUUGGUUAAUCUACAAGCCUCAGAUAUGUCAUAGAGAACAUACCCAUCUUUGACAUUAGAAAUCAUGCUGAGCUUUGAUCUUCAACUAAACCCCCAAACUCUGCCCAUGUUCUAAGUUUUCAAAAGUGUCCUUUUAUAUCAGACAGGAUGCUUAGGCACAUAAUUUCAUGCGAAAUAUAAAAACAGUUUCCUUGGUGUUCUAUUAGUGGGCUCAUAUUCUUGACAUUUUAACUGAAACCAUGGGCUCACAUUCUUCACAUUUCAAGUGAAAUCAUUCUUUAGGGAAAAAUAAAAGAAAAUGUAAGAGUUAAAGGAAGAGAUAAUAAGAAGAAAAUGACAUGAAGCAAAAAUACAUAAAAAAAGGAAGAGAUCCUAGAAAAUUCAAAGCGAUAGCAGAAAAAAGGAGUCACAGGUGAUGCAUAGAUCUACCAAACUCACACUGUCAGGAAACAGAAACAGUCUACGCACAUAACACAUACGACUGGCAAAGCCAAUUUGCAGGGAAACCGAUAACCAUCCCAAGUAACAGUGAAAAGUGACCACUAGUUAUCACCUGCCAUCUGCUAAGAGAGAAAAAUACCCCACAUGCCACGCACCUAUAGACCAGGAAAGCAUGGCCAAACAGCAGGAUGAAUCACACAGAAGCAGUGAGCUAUCACUAGCAGAGUUUAUUUCAUCUUCAACAAGGUCAUAGACUUCCCACGAAACCACACCUAGCAG